CAGCCCAAACCCUAGCUCAGAUCCCCCCAUCUCCUCGCCGCCGCCGGCCCCUCCCGAUCCUGUCCUCCGCCUCACCCCCUCCUCUCCCCUCAACCAAGGACGACGGAGAUCCAGUCCUCACCCCACGCGGCAACCCUUCCUCCCACCCACCGCCGACCUCGCCGUCCUCCUCACCCACCGCCCACCUCGUCCCUCCCUCCCCUCACCAUCUCUCCCUACCCUCUGCCUGCUUCCCCUGCCUCAUCCCCAGAUCCAAUCGACACAACCCCGCUGCCCCCGCACCCCGUACUGUCCACCAUGGCCGCCUCCUCCUCCUCCCCGCACCAACCCAUCACCCCGUCGUGGGGGCGCGUCCGUGGCGGCUACCCUUCCACGCCGUCUCCGUCCGCCCCUGCCGCUCCACAGUCUCCUCCGAAUCCGCAUCCUCCCCGCAGCAGGCGCCGGCACCGGUCGGCGGCGACGACGCCAACGGGCCCACCGGCGUGCCCGUGCCCUUCUCCCGUGCCCUCCCGGGCGGCGGCGGCAGUUGGGUGAGCGGUGGAGGAGGUGUGUCCGGCGCUAAACGAGCACGCUGACGUGGUGGCGGAGCUCUUCGGCCGCGUCUCCACCGAGCUCCGCGGCGGGUUCGGCCCCGUCGUCGACUCCUUCGUCGGCUUCUUCCACGCCGUCGACUAGAAGGGCCGCUGACGAGCGCGGACCAUCGAGAUCAAGGCUGUCGAGCUACAAACAACAUAAAUCUGAAUCCGUUCCUUCAGAAAAUUUCAUUCGGAACUGCAGAGCCGGCUGAUUGACUGACUGAAUCUGGUUUGACACAGACAAUUCAGGGCGACACGACGCUGACCUGGGACGUGACUGGUGUUGUGGUGGGACGUGAGGUACACGGAGAAGUCCAUGCCGGCCGACGAGGGCGCCUACACCAUUGUGGACAAGGUGGUGAACCCGCCGUUCGAGAAGAGGCCGAAGCAGUUCGGCAUAAGUGGUGCCCUGCCGCCCAAGAAGGACCUCCACCGGUUCGUCAAGUUGCCCAAGGUCAUCCGCAUCCAGCGCUAGCGCCGCAUCCUCAAAUAGCGCCUCAAGGCCCCCCCUGCGCUCCACCAGUUCACCCGCACCCUCAACAAGAACCUCGAUGUUGGCCUUCAUUCUUCAAAAGUUGGGUGCACAGGAGCUCUAGGAAGAAGAAUCCCGAAGAAAAACCACACCCAACAAUGCGUCUUAGCUCACUGGAGCUAGUUAUGUGUAUAUUUAGUAGUAUUUUAUAGCUGAAUACCAGAUUUGUACUAUGUAUGAUUGGAAUGUACUUUGCUUGGCUGUUGUAUGAAAUAUUAUGCCUUAUUGGCUCUUUUUUAAUCAAAUUAUAUAAUUGCACAAA